AUGGCAACGGGCAUCGCGCGGCAGAGGCGUACCCACAAGGAGGGGCAUGUAUAAUGGGCGGCGCAAGAGUGAUCUGCCUGUAGACUGCCGUAGCGAAGUACGGGUACAUCAGUUGUACGUUGCGUGCACGAGUCGGGAAACCAUUGGUGCUAUUCAUUUUCUCUCCGGUACAUUAUACAGCAUUGUAAUAAAUUUUCACUGAAUUUUUUUUUAUUUACCGUUACUGUAAAUGGGAGAUGUGGCUUAAUUUUUUUCCACUAGUAUAGCCGUGCGAAGCCGGGUCGGGCAGCUAGUAACAAUAUAUAAAUCCCAAUGUGCGACUGACUGACUGACUGACUGACUGACUGACUGACUGACUGACUGACUGACUGACUGACUGACUGACUGACUGACUGACUGACUGACUGACUGACUGACUGACUGACUGACUGACUGACUGACUGACUGACAUUGAAUUGCUUGCUUACUUACUUACUACUUACUUACUUACUACUUACUUACUUACUUACUUACUUACUUACUUACUUACUUACUUUAGAAUGUCAAAAUUUUCACAAGAGGUAGAUCUCAAUCUGGCCGAUGGAAAAAUUCCAAACAUUUGCGGGAACUCUCUCCCUCCCCUCUUCCAAAAAAAUGAAAGCUACCAAACCAUCCCAAGUCAGGCCAUCGUAAUAUUGUUAUAGAAGAAUUGUCAUGGUAACACCAUUGUUUGAGAUGAUGGAAAAUCAUCUAAAUGAUAUACCAGGGUUGUCUGAAAAGUUUUUUACCUCAACCUGAAGAUGGCAGCACUCGUCAAUGAAAAUUGGGGAAUGUGUUUAGUCAUGUUUUGGAAUAUAUUGUCUGAAAUUUCAGCCAUUUUGAACUUGAAUUGAUUUUUUAACCUUCGUUUUCAUGAGUCGAUGCGCAUAUUUUUGUGAAAAUGAAAAAAGGUGUGUCGAAGUGUCAUUAAAUAUUUGCUUUUGAAAGGCUAUACGCCUACGCUAAUUGAAGAUGAGUUGGACGGUGUGCACGGCGACUCUGCGCCAUCAUUUACCACAGGGAUAUUUCAGGCAGCUCACUUCAAACAUGGCCACACCAGCUCGGGUGAUGAACGUCUGCGACACCAAAAACCGCGAAGGGAGAAUCAGCUCCAGAAAAUGCAAAGACUGUUCCUUUGGCUGGAGAAAAUACAGAGAUACUGUUUUCUAGGUUAGUCAUGGAAUUGUCUUAAUAAAUUAUUUUGGAAAAAGAAUAGCAUAACUAUGCAUCAUUACUUGACAAGCUGAAGGCAGAAAUUGCAGAAAAAUGUCACAUUUGCAGAAACAAAGAAAUUUGUUUCACCAGAACAAUGCACCAGCUCACACCUCAGCGGUUGCCAUGUUGAAAAUAUACGAACUGCGGUUGGAACUGCUUGACCACCCUCCUAACUCACCAGAUCUAAACCCAAUUUACAUUUUUAUUGUUCCCCGGGCUAAAAGUUGCACUCAGAGGACAGACAUUUUUGUCGAAUGAGGAGGCCAUCACGUUCGUAAACAACUAUUAUGCAGAUACUCACACAAACAAUUGUUAAAAAACAAUUGCUCGUCCAAAAUGGCUGAAAUUUCAGACAGUAUAUUCCAAAACAUGACUUAACACAUUCCCCAAUUUUCGUUGACGAGUGCUGCCAUCUGCAUGAUGAGGUCGGAAACUUUUCAAACAACCCUCGUAGUUACAAAAAUUGCUACAGACACUUUAUGAUGACAAAAAGCUCUAAUAUUUUAUUUACGGAAAAUCUUAUAUGUAUUAUUGGUGACAAAACACCAAAAUAUCAUUACUACCAAAUUUGCCCAGCAGAAUUUUUCACUUGUUUUUAAUGAUGGGACAAAUUUUUGUUUAUUUGUAAGUUAUGGCCAUAGACUACAAUAACAUGUGAACACAGAAAAAAUGUUACUCUCUUCUGUGAGAAAUAUAUUGUUUGAUGGGGGUAGCCUAUGAUUCACAGGUCUUGAUGCCCAUUCGGGCAUGUUUUUGCAUUUUUGGAUUUUUUCACCUGUUGUAAAAAAACAGAAUAUAAACAGUAAAUACACUUCAAUCCCUCAUGCAGAGGAUUUGUAUUAUGUGCAAUAGGUUAGAAUACUUAUAAAAUGUUGGAAGAUUUUGUUUUUCCUACAAUUUUACUCAACUUUCAGGUAAGAGAAUAUUAUAUUUCUGGUCAAAUUUAUGUUGAUUCGUUACAAUACUAUGUUAGUCCAUUACACAUUGUCAAAACAUGCUAAUGUUUCAACUCUAGUUUUGUAACUUCAUUUUCUGUAAAAAUUACUAUGUAUUAAUAAUGGGAGUUAUUCUGUUUCAGGUUGAUUUUUGGAGGUUCAGCAUAUUUUAAAGAGUGUGCGUGCAUAUAUAUACACAUAUAUAUAUAUAUGUGUGUGUGUGUAUUAUAUAUGUAAAUUUUUUGGUGGUGUAGCAGUUUAUUGCAUUCAAGCGAGAAUAUUCAAAAGUAAUUUUUGCCAGAUGUGAAUUCUUGAGGCAUAUGAAGAAAUGAAUAUUAGCUUUCAAUCAACUGCUUGGAUGGCCUUUGAAAAUCAGCAAGGAUUGAAUCAAUCAUAUUUGUAACUGCAAUAUUUUUGGACUGAGUCUAAUUUAAAAACAAUUGAAUGUAUGUUAAAACAUUAAAAUUACUCUAAUAAAAAAGAUUUCCAAAAUAUUUUAA